rnacentral:rRNA from 1 species
AGAACGAACGCUGGCGGCGUGCUUAACACAUGCAAGUCGAGUGCGCGUCUGUAGCAAUACAAAUGGCGCACGGCGCACGGGUGCGUAACACGUGGGCAAUCUGCCCUUCGAUGGGGAAUAACUCCGGGAAACCGAAGCUAAUUCCGCAUAACAUUCCUUGGACUUCGGUUCGAGGAUUCAAAGCCGUAAGGCGUCGAAGGAGGAGCCCGCGCACGAUUAGCUAGUUGGUAGGGUAACGGCCUACCAAGGCUUUGAUCGUUAGCUGGUCUGAGAGGAUGGCCAGCCACACUGGAACUGAGACACGGUCCAGACUCCUACGGGAGGCAGCAGUGGGGAAUCUUGCACAAUGGGCGAAAGCCUGAUGCAGCGACGCCGCGUGGGGGAUGAAGCAUCUCGGUGUGUAAACCCCUUUCGACUGGGACGAAUGCCUCGCAAGAGGAGUGACGGUACCAGUAGAAGAAGCCCCGGCUAACUACGUGCCAGCAGCCGCGGUAAGACGUAGGGGGCCAGCGUUGUUCGGAAUUACUGGGUGUAAAGGGUUCGUAGGCGGUGUGGCAAGUUGGGAGUGAAAUCUCUGGGCUCAACCCAGAGGCUGCUUCCAAAACUGCCAUGCUUGAGUGUGGGAGAGGCGCGUGGAAUUGCAGGUGUAGCGGUGAAAUGCGUAAAUAUCUGCAGGAACACCCGUGGCG